CCGAACCUGUGGUGAUGUCCCCAGACAAAGGCGAAGAUGACAUCAGAAACCUCACCCGGGACAGGAAGGUAGUCCUGGGCGUCGUGAACACUCUAAAGGCAGGAACUACUCGUUUCGUUUGCAUGUCUAGACUUGUGUGUUCACCCUCGUGCCUACGGACAUGGCUGCCGGCACGGUGUUUGCUGGAGUUAACUCCAGCGCUCCACUCGGAAAGGUAUGCAGGAUUUAAUCAUUGAACCAGAGAAAGAACCUUGAAGGUUGGAGGGAAGUUUCCUGCUGCCCCAGCAUCACGGCCGUCGCGUGUAUCACCCACAUGGAAAAGGGCGCUACACGGCCUGGCUGGCCAAAGGAAAUCAUUUUGCACGUCAGAAUUACAGAUGAAUGACAGCGAUGUCGGCUGGGACCACGUGCAGUAGGGCAAAGAGCAUACCUACCCUUC